rnacentral:tRNA from 1 species
GCCGGGGUGGCGGAAUUGGCAGACGCGCCGGAUUUAGGUUCCGGUGCCGCAAGGCGUGCAGGUUCGACCCCUGUCCCCGGCA